rnacentral:rRNA from 1 species
GUAUAGAACCUACCUUAUAUUGGGGGAUAGCCCAGAGAAAUUUGGAUUAAUACCCCAUAGUAUGCUGAAGAGGCAUCCUUUAGUAUUAAAGAUUUAUCGAUAUAAGAUGGCUAUGCGUUCUAUUAGCUAGUUGGUAUGGUAACGGCAUACCAAGGCUACGAUAGAUAGGGGUCCUGAGAGGGAGAUCCCCCACACUGGUACUGAGACACGGACCAGACUCCUACGGGAGGCAGCAGUGAGGAAUAUUGGACAAUGGAGGCAACUCUGAUCCAGCCAUGCCGCGUGCAGGAAGACUGCCCUAUGGGUUGUAAACUGCUUUUAUAGAGGAAGAAACCCCCCGACGAGUCGGGUCUGACGGUACUCUACGAAUAAGGAUCGGCUAACUCCGUGCCAGCAGCCGCGGUAAUACGGAGGAUCCAAGCGUUAUCCGGAAUCAUUGGGUUUAAAGGGUCCGUAGCGGAUUUGUAAGUCAGUGGUGAAAGUUUGCGGCUCAA